rnacentral:lncRNA from 1 species
CUAAUCAAGAGAAAAAAUAAAGGAUGAAUAUAUGAUUUCAAUCAAAAGUUCUUUAGCAUGUUAGGGACGCAACUACUCCACUGUACAGCAGUAGUUUUAGCUGACCGAUUGUUACAACCGCGCCCGCACUAUUGACUUCAGGUCUCGGCGACAUUUGAAUUGUGCCUGAAAUUGUACUAGUUGGUUUUGUAGGUACCCAGGUAGAUAUCCUUAUCCAAGAAGUCUUCGUUUUUGUACUUUCCGUUUGUGAUUGUUACGUUUUGCGUCUAUCUUCUUAAGCAUCUUUGUUAAUUCAUGCUGCAUCCUGAAGACAGUAAAUACUGUAGAUUCAUAUUGUUUCGACUCGAGAUCUCUAUCUGAUUCAUUUGUGAGACUCUGUAUGAAGUGUAUCGUCGAUCAAUUUGAAGAGAAACACGAUUUAAAUUUUUGGACGAACUACAAAUUUUUAAUAGCUAAUAGCCAACAUUGAAAAGCUAAAUCAAAAACCGCGCGGUCAGCGUCUACUCCUUCGACCGUUAGGUCUUCGUGGCGCUUUUGACACUGGUGAAAUGUAGUCAUAAACUAUGGAUAUAGAAAUAUGGAUUAUAUUCGUAAUUCGUAAUGUAGUCACACGUGGGUUGCCUCAUUGUCUGUUGUCCCGGUUUAGAUGGUUCCCUCAGCUGGUUUAGGAUCUGUUGCUCGCGGCCUGCGAAGCAGAAAAAUCAGAGAGCGAUAUGUCUCAUUAAGUUCCUCAGAAUAAAAUAUUAUGCCUAUUUGCAUGGAAAGUCCUGGAGAUAGCACUUCUUUAAAGAUUACUAUGUAAAAGGAUGAGGAUCUCAUUCAAAAUGUAUAUCCAGUUUGAAGAGCAAUAUGGUACUCAGAAAGGAUGUCAGCAAAAACUUAAUUAUACAAUAUCUAAGAAUAUUUCAAAAGUUUACUUCUAUUUUAUUUCUACAUAUGCAAAAACAUACUGUUAAUAUUGAUAUAUACAGUGGCUUGCUAAAUUAUUUACAUUUGUCACAGAAAACUUUUAUAUUCACAUUGUGUGUUGUAUAUAAAACAUUUUGAAAUUUUGUUAGCACUAUAACGAGAUUGCCCUAUUUAUAUUGCCAAUUUGAAAAAAUAUAUAAAAGUUUCAGGAUAUUUAAUGUAAACUUAUAUUUAGUAUAAAAUUAAUAUACAGUAUGUAUAGUCACCUUAAGAGUAUAAUGUAUUAUAUUAAAAAUGGUCCCACUGAAUACUGAGACUUACUAAUGUUAUGAAUGAUUGUUUAUUUAAGUAUUUUUAUAAUCUCUGCAAAAUAUAUGUACA